CCUACGGGGCGCAGCAGUGAGGAAUAUUGGUCAAUGGACGAGAGUCUGAACCAGCCAAGUAGCGUGAAGGAUGACUGCCCUAUGGGUUGUAAACUUCUUUUAUAUGGGAAUAAAAUGUUCCACGUGUGGGAUUUUGUAUGUACCAUAUGAAUAAGGAUCGGCUAACUCCGUGCCAGCAGCCGCGGUAAUACGGAGGAUCCGAGCGUUAUCCGGAUUUAUUGGGUUUAAAGGGAGCGUAGGUGGAUUGUUAAGUCAGUUGUGAAAGUUUGCGGCUCAACCGUAAAAUUGCAGUUGAAACUGGCAGUCUUGAGUACAGUAGAGGUGGGCGGAAUUCGUGGUGUAGCGGUGAAAUGCUUGGAUAUCACGAAGAACUCCGAUUGCGAAGGCAGUUCACUGGACUGCAACUGACACUGAGGCUCGAAAGUGUGGGUAUCAAACAGGACUAGAUACCCGUGUAGUC
rnacentral:rRNA from 1 species